rnacentral:rRNA from 1 species
AUUGAACGCUGGCGGCAGGCCUAACACAUGCAAGUCGAGCGAGCGGCGGACGGGUGUGUAAUGUAUGGGGAAAGCCCGAUAGAGGGGGAUAACUACUGGAAACGGUAGCUAUUAACGCAUACUACAGGAUAACCCCUAUGGGAUAAGCUCGUGGGUGGGGUAAGGGCUCACCCAGGCGACGCUCCCUAGCUGGUCUGCGAGGAUGAUCAGCCACACUGGGACUGAGACACGGCCCAGACUCCUACGGAGGCAGCAGUGGGGAAUAUUGCACAAUGGGCGCAAGCCUGAUGCAGCCAUGCCGCGUGUAUGAAGAAGGCCCUAGGGUUGUAAAGUACUUUCAGUCGGGAGGCGUUACCGACAGAAGAAGCACCGGCUAACUCCGUGCCAGCAGCCGCGGUAAUAC